rnacentral:rRNA from 1 species
GACAGAGGUGCCGAGCGUUAGGCGGAAUCACUGGGCUUAAAGCGUGUGUAGGCGGACCCAUAAGUACCUUGUGAAAUCCCACGGCUCAACCGUGGAACUGCUGGGUAUACUGCGGGUCUUGAGCGGCCUAGGGGCAGACGGAACAAGUGGUGGAGCGGUGAAAUGCGUAGAUAUCAAGAGGAACACCGGUGGCGAAGGCGGCUCUCUGGAACAAUCCUGACGCUGAGGUGCGAAAGCUAGGGGAGCAAACGGG